UGGGGAAUAUUGGACAAUGGGGGCAACCCUGAUCCAGCCAUGCCGCGUGAGUGAUGAAGGCCUUCGGGUUGUAAAGCUCUUUUGGCGGGGACGAUGAUGACGGUACCCGCAGAAUAAGCCCCGGCUAACUUCGUGCCAGCAGCCGCGGUAAGACGAAGGGGGCUAGCGUUGUUCGGAAUUACUGGGCGUAAAGCGAGUGUAGGCGGUUGCCCAAGUCAGGUGUGAAAGCCUUGAGCUCAACUCAAGAAAUGCACUUGGUACUGGGUGGCUAGAGGACCGGAGAGGAUAGUGGAAUUCCCAGUGUAGUGGUGAAAUACGUAGAGAUUGGGAAGAACAACAGUGGCGAAGGCGGCUAUCUGGACGGUUACUGACGCUAAGACUCGAAAGCGUGGGGAGCAAACAGG
rnacentral:rRNA from 1 species